UUGGGCGUAAGCGCGCGUAGGCGGUUUUUUAAGUCUGAUGUGAAAGCCCACGGCUCAACCGUGGAGGGUCAUUGGAAACUGGAAAACUUGAGUGCAGAAGAGGAAAGUGGAAUUCCAUGUGUAGCGGUGAAAUGCGCAGAGAUAUGGAGGAACACCAGUGGCGAAGGCGACUUUCUGGUCUGUAACUGACGCUGAUGUGCGAAAGCGUGGGGAUCAAACAGGAUUAGAUACCCUGGUAGUCCACGCCGUAAACGAUGAGUGCUAAGUGUUAGGGGGUUUCCGCCCCUUAGUGCUGCAGCUAACGCAUUAAGCACUCCGCCUGGGGAGUACGACCGCAAGGUUGAAACUCGAAGGAAUUGACGGGGACCCGCACAAGCGGUGGAGCAUGUGGUUUAAUUCGAAGCAACGCGAAGAACCUUACCAAAUCUUGACAUCCUUUGACAACUCUAGAGAUAGAGCCUUCCCCUUCGGGGGACAAAGUGACAGGUGGUGCAUGGUUGU
rnacentral:rRNA from 1 species